GUGAGUGGCAGACGGGUGAGUAAUGCAUAGGAAUCUACCCAGUAGUAAGGAAUAACUCAUGGAAACAUGAGCUAAUACUGUAUACUACCGAUUUAUCGGGAAAGGCUUCGGCCGCUAUUGGAUGAGCCUAUGUCAGAUUAGUUUGUUGGUGGGGUAAAGGCCUACCAAGACGAUGAUCUGUAACUGGUUUGAGAGAAUGAUCAGUCACACUGGGACUGCGACACGGCCCAGACUCC
rnacentral:rRNA from 1 species